UUUACAGGAUUUGGAGGUGGCUUUGGAGGUGGUGGAGGUUAUGGAAAAUAGUCGCCAUUCAUUUCCCGACGCUGCCCGAACACUGAGAACAUCCUGAUAAACGAAAUCUAAAAAGAAAAACAAUGAAUGCUUGACGAAUAUUAUAUUUUUCUCUUUUUUUUUGGGGGGGGGGGGGAGGGGAAGGGGAAUUAUCGCAAGGAAUAGUUUUCAAAAAUACUUCUGGGUUCUAGGAAAAAAAAUGUCAAGGAAAUCUGCCAAUUUUGGUCCAAUAAAGUGCUGGCUUGUUUAGAA